rnacentral:rRNA from 1 species
CCUACGGGAGGCAGCAGUAGGGAAUAUUGCUCAAUGGGGGAAACCCUGAAGCAGCAACGCCGUGUGGGAAGACGGUCCUAUGGAUUGUAAACCUCUUUUGUCGGGGAGCAAAAGACGCCACGCGUGGCGUUCCGAGAGUACCAGAAGAAAAAGCAUCGGCUAACUCCGUGCCAGCAGCCGCGGUAAUACGGAGGAUGCGAGCGUUAUCCGGAUUUAUUGGGUUUUAAGGGUGCGCAUGCGGAAGAUCAAGUCAGCGGUAAAAGUGAGAGGCUCAACCUCUUCGAGCCGUUGAAACUGGUUUUCUUGAGUGAGUGAGAAGGAUGCGGAAUGCGUGGUGUAGCGGUGAAAUGCAUAGAUAUCACGCAGAACUCCGAUUGCGAAGGCAGCAUACCGGCGCUCAACUGACGCUCAUGCACGAAAGUGUGGGUAUCGAACAGGAUUAGAUACCCGGGUAGUC